AUAGGGAAAUCGCUGAAUCCUUAAUGGAGCGGGGGACCCAAUGUUGUAACGUCCGUUACUUGGGGUGAAUCCUGAAAAGGAAGGGCUAUCUCUCCAUGCCCUAACCCGACAGCUAACCUCGUAAGCGUUCUGGGGAGGGAUG
rnacentral:sRNA from 2 species